UACGUAGGGUGCGAGCGUUAAUCGGAAUUACUGGGCGUAAAGCGUGCGCAGGCGGCGCGUUAAGACAGGUGUGAAAGCCCCCGAGCUUAACUUGGGAAUUGCGCUUGUGACUGGCGUGCUGGAGUGUGGCAGAGGGAGGUGGAAUUCCACGUGUAGCAGUGAAAUGCGUAGAGAUGUGGAGGAACACCGAUGGCGAAGGCAGCCUCCUGGGCCAGCACUGACGCUCAUGCACGAAAGCGUGGGGAGCAAACAGG
rnacentral:rRNA from 1 species